rnacentral:rRNA from 1 species
AUUAGAGUUUGAUCCUGGGUCAGAUUGAACGCUAGCGGGAUGCUUUACACAUGCAAGUCGAACGGCAGCGCGAGAGAGCUUGCUCUCUUGGCGGCGAGUGGCGGACGGGUGAGUAAUAUAUCGGAACGUGCCCAGUAGCGGGGGAUAACUACUCGAAAGAGUGGCUAAUACCGCAUACGCCCUACGGGGGAAAGGGGGGGAUCGCAAGACCUCUCACUAUUGGAGCGGCCGAUAUCGGAUUAGCUAGUUGGUGGGGUAAAGGCUCACCAAGGCAACGAUCCGUAGCUGGUUUGAGAGGACGACCAGCCACACUGGGACUGAGACACGGCCCAGACUCCUACGGGAGGCAGCAGUGGGGAAUUUUGGACAAUGGGGGAAACCCUGAUCCAGCCAUCCCGCGUGUAUGAUGAAGGCCUUCGGGUUGUAAAGUACUUUUGGCAGAGAAGAAAAGGUACCUCCUAAUACGAGGUACUGCUGACGGUAUCUGCAGAAUAAGCACCGGCUAACUACGUGCCUGCAGCCGCGGUAAU